UGGAAUAAAACGUAUACCGUAAACCUCCAAAUAUAAGCCCCCCUCCCGAAUAUAAGCCCCCCGUGUAUAAGCCCACCACAUGUACUAACGCUCACCUCAUUCCAACUACAAGCCCCCCUCCCCGAAUAUAAGCCCACCCGAAUGUAAGCCCACUUGUUUAUCACUAUUGUUUAUCACUAUUACCCAUAGAUAUCUCAUAUCUAUGCCAUUACCAC